rnacentral:pre_miRNA from 1 species
UAUACUAUUUAUAUCCAAUGUUAAUCAUCCAUCUUAUUUAAAAAAAUUAUGAUUAGUAUUUUUAUUAUUAUUAGAUGAUAAAAUAUGAGUAAUACUUUAUGUGUGAUUAUUUUUUUAAAAGAUUUUUUAUAAAUUUUUCAAAUAAAACGGACGGUCAAACGUUGAAUACGGAUAUUCACAACUACGUUUAUU